UGCAGUUUUUGAUGCCAGUUGGAAGAGAUAAGCCCACAAGCGCUAUUAAUAAAAGUUCUAAAAGCAGAGUUCAUCAAACAAAAGAUUCUAGCCAGAAGACCUUCAAUAUUCAGCAUACUGCGACUACCGAAACGCAGAGGUGACGUAUGGAGCGAAUUCCAUAUGGCACUUACACACGCAAACCUGUUAUAAAGACAUAAAUAUCGGCACCAAGAGCUACCUAUCAAAACGCACAUUAAAUUAGGUCGGUGGGUAAUAGAAUCGAAAUAAUAGUUACCCUCAGCCGUAAACGGCUUUAUAGCACCUUUUUAACAUAAAUUACUGCUAAAUAAAACACAAGCGAA